rnacentral:lncRNA from 1 species
UUCAUGAUCUCUUGUAAUGAUCGCAAUGCUCUUACGCGGACUCGAAAUAAGAUAUACUGUUUUCUCUAAACUCGUUUGUUAUCUUUUCAUGAUUUCCACAUAUAUUGGGUAACUUGUCGUUGGCUCUCGCAGAGAUCCGGGACCUCUGGGAAAUUAGGGUUUUCAUAGUUUCCUUAUUUAAUCGGAAAUCGAUGGUGCGAAUUUCGGUUCCCACAGUUUGGCGCUAGAAGGAGGGGGGGUUACGGAUUACUCUUACUCAUGGCCGUAAAACGCUUGAUCGAAACGAUGUCUGGAUAUAUGAAAGACAAACUUGCAGCACUGACUGCUCCUAUGGUUAACGCUUACGCAAACGCCGUAUUGUUCAGCAAAAUCGAAAACUUAGU